rnacentral:rRNA from 1 species
GCUAAACAGCUAGCUUUUUUAUUUAACCAACAUUACACAAUUUUUAGGUUAAACCUAACAUAACUUCCUUUAACCAAAUCAUUUUACCUCCUGAGUAUGGGCGACAGAAAAGGCACUUCAAAGCAAUAGAAUAAGUACCGCAAGGGAAAGCUGAAAAAGAAAUGAAAUAACUCAUUUAAGCCCUACAAAGCAGAGACAUAACCUCGUACCUUUUGCAUCAUGAUUUAGCCAGAAUUACGGAGCAAAGAGAAACUUUAGUUCCCCACCCCGAAACCAAGUGAGCUACCCCGAGACAGCCUAACUAGGGCAAACCCGUCUCUGUGGCAAAAGAGUGGGAAGAUCUCCGGGUAGCGGUGACAGACCUAUCGAACUUGGUGAUAGCUGGUUGCCUAAGAAAUGGAUAUAAGUUCAGCCUCAUACUCCCCUACCCACAUGCUACUGCCACUCCACGGGAAAGAGAAAACUAUGAGAGUUAUUCAAAGGGGGUACAGCCCCUUUGAGACAGGAUACAACCUGUACCAGGAGGUUAAGGAUCACACUAAACAAGAUUAUCGCUUUAGUGGGCCUAAAAGCAGCCAUCUACUCAGAAAGCGUUAAAGCUCAAGCAACCCAAAAUCUAUUAUUCUGAUAUAAAAUCCUAAACCCCUUCUUCUACUAGGCCGUUCCAUGCCCCCAUGGAAGCGAUACUGCUAAAAUGAGUAACAAGAAGAAAACCUCUUCUCCAUGCCUAGGUGUAAACUAGACCGGACCCACCACUACAACUUAACGAACCCAAUCAAAGAGGGAAAAGUGAUUUUUAAAAAAACCAAGAAAACCCCACAAAAACCAUCGUUAACCCUACACUGGAAGGCUCCAAGGAAAGAUUAAAAGAAAAGGAAGGAACUCGGCAAACAUAAGCCUCGCCUGUUUACCAAAAACAUCGCCUCCUGCAAAAUCAACGUAUAGGAGGUCCUACCUGCCCGGUGAUAUUUUAACGGCCGCGGUAUUUUGACCGUGCAAAGGUAGCGCAAUCACUUGUCUUUUAAAUAGAGACCUGUAUGAAUGGUGAAACGAGGGCUUAACUGUCUCCCCUUUCCAAUCAGUGAAAUUGACCUACCCGUGCAGAGGCGGGUAUAAAACUACAAGACGAGAAGACCCUAUGGAGCUUAAGACACAUAGUCAACUAUGUUAAAAAACCUAAAUUACAAGAACAAAACAAAAUAAAAACUGACUAACGUCUUCGGUUGGGGCGACCACGGGGGAAAAUUAAUCCCCCACGUGGAAUGGGAUAAAAUCCUAAAACCAUGAGGCACACCUCUAAGUCACAGAACUUCUGACCAAAAGAUCCGGUAUUAACCGAUCAACGAACCAAGUUACCCUAGGGAUAACAGCGCAAUCCCCUCCAAGAGUCCAUAUCGACGAGGGGGUUUACGACCUCGAUGUUGGAUCAGGACAUCCUAAUGGUGCAGCCGCUAUUAAGGGUUCGUUUGUUCAACGAUUAAAGUCCUACGUGAUCUGAGUUCAGACCGGAGUAAUCCAGGUCAGUUUCUAUCUGUAAAGUUAGCCCUCCUAGUACGAAAGGACCGGAGACAUGAGGCCUCUGCCCAAGGCACGCCUUACUUUUACCUAAUGAAAACAACUCAAUUAGACAAAAAAGAACAUUACAUACCCAAAGACCACGGG